GUGAGUAACGCGUGGGUAAUCUCCCUCCGAAUUGGGGAUAACGUUGCGGAAGCGACGCUAAUACCGAAUAAUAUCAAGGGGACUUCGGUUCUUUUGAUCAAAGGUGGCCUCUUCAUGAAAGCUACUGUUUGGAGAUGAGCCCGCGUCCCAUUAGCUUGUUGGUGGGGUAAAGGCCCACCAAGGCCGCGAUGGGUAGCUGGUCUGAGAGGAUGAUCAGCCACACUGGAACUGACACACGGUCCAGACUCCUACGGGAGGCAGCAGUGAGGAAUUUUGCGCAAUGGGGGAAACCCUGACGCAGCAACGCCGCGUGAGUGAUGAAGGCUUUCGGGUCGUAAAGCUCUGUCAAGUGGGAAGAACCUGUGAAUGGCCAAUAUCCAUUCGCACUGACGGUACCACUAAAGGAAGCACCGGCUAACUCCGUGCCAGCAGCCGCGGUAACACGGGGGGUGCAAGCGUUACUCGGAAUCAUUGGGCGUAAAGGGCGCGCAGGCGGCCUGGUUAGUCAGAUGUGAAAGCCCGGGGCUCAACCCCGGAAGUGCAUUUGAUACUGCCAGGCUUGAGUAUGGGAGAGGAAAGUGGAAUUCCUGGUGUAGAGGUGAAAUUCGUAGAUAUCAGGAGGAACACCGGUGGCGAAGGCGACUUUCUGGACCAAUACUGACGCCGAGGCGCGAAGGCGUGGGGAGCAAACAGGAUUAGAUACCCUGGUAGUCCACGCAGUAAACGUUG
rnacentral:rRNA from 1 species